UACGUAGGGUGCAAGCGUUGUCCGGAAUUAUUGGGCGUAAAGAGCUCGUAGGCGGUCUGUCACGUCGGACGUGAAAAUCCAGGGCUCAACCCUGGACCUGCGUUCGAUACGGGCAGACUAGAGUUCGGUAGGGGAGACUGGAAUUCCUGGUGUAGCGGUGAAAUGCGUAGAUAUCUGGAGGAAUACCGGUGGCGAAGGCGGCAUCCUGGACCGGCAUUGACGCUGAACAGCGAAAGCUAGGGGAGCAAACGGGAGU
rnacentral:rRNA from 1 species